rnacentral:rRNA from 1 species
GUAACAAGGUUUCCGUAGGUGAACCUGCGGAAGGAUCAUUAAAGAAAUUUAAUAAUUCUUUGGUAGAGCUGAGUCUGGGAGAGAGAGUUUUAGACCAGCGCUUAACUGCGCGGACUAGGCUGUGCUCUUCUAUUCCAAAAGAUUCUUCUUCUAUUAAAAUUUUACCACACAAUGGAGUAUUUUAUUCUAUUUUUCUUUGGGUUUUAGACUUGUUCUAAGCCCAGCAAACACAAACAAUUUUGUAUUUUUAUUUUUAUUAGUCAAGAAUUAACAUUUUCUCUUUAUUGAGUUAGUGACAAAAUAUUCAAAACUUUCAACAACGGAUCUCUUGGUUCUCGCAUCGAUGAAGAACGCAGCGAAAUGCGAUACGUAAUGUGAAUUGCAGAAUUCCGUGAAUCAUCGAAUCUUUGAACGCACAUUGCGCCCCUUGGUAUUCCAGGGGGCAUGCCUGUUUGAGCGUCAUUUCCUUCUCAAACACUUGUGUUUGGUUGUGAGUGAUACUCUUUCUGGAGUUAACUUGAAAUUGCUAGCCUUUUCAGUUUGUUAAUUUCGAUUGAAAAAAAUCAUAGGUGAGAUUAUUUCUUUCCUGUCGUAUUAGGUUUUACCAACUUCGGCAACUUUAAGAAACUAUCUUAUUCCAAAAUCUAUGAAUUUUUGAUAUUGAGCGUAGCGUAACUUGGCGAACAAUACCAUCUUUAAGUUUGACCUCAAAUCAGGUAGGAAUACCCGCUGAACUUAAG